rnacentral:rRNA from 1 species
UACGUAGGGAGCAAGCGUUGUCCGGAAUCAUUGGGCGUAAAGCGCGCGUAGGUGGCCCUGUAAGUCCGUUGUGAAAGUCAAAGGCUCAACCUUUGAAAGCCGAUGGAUACUGCAGGGCUAGAGUACGGAAGAGGCGAGUGGAAUUCCUGGUGUAGCGGUGAAAUGCGCAGAUAUCAGGAGGAACACCGGUGGCGAAGGCGGAUCUCUGGGCCAUUACUGACGCUGAGGAGCGAAAGCGUGGGGAGCGAACAGG